rnacentral:rRNA from 1 species
CCCUUAGAUGUUCUGGGCUGCACGCGUGCUACACUGAUUAUUUCAACAAGUGUUUUAACUGGAGAGUUCGCGUAAUCCUGAAAUGUUAUCGUGAUGGGAGUAGAGUAUUGUAUUUGUUAAUCUUUAACGAGGAAUUCCUAGCAAGUGUAGGUUUAUAAGUUGUUCUGAUUACGUCCCUGCCCUUUGUACACACCGCCCGUCGCUCCUACCGAUUGAUUGAUCCGGUGAAUUACAUAGAAUUUUGCGUUUUGCAUGACGGAAGACGAAGUGUUUUAAACCUUAUCAUUUAGAGGAAGGAGAAGUCGUAACA